GCGGGGGUAGAGCAGUUUGGUAGCUCGCAAGGCUCAUAACCUUGAGGUCACAAUCCUGUCUCCGCA